CAUCUCCAUCGCAUACUUGAAAGCCUUCAACAAAAUAUUCCCCAAACCCGCCACCAUCACCGCAUAAUAGCAGCCGUCAUGAUACUCCGACGCCGCCAACAUCUUCUCCAUCACUAGCAUCAAUGAACACCCCCUCCUUUAUCCAUCAAUGAACACCCUUAUCUAAUCCGCCAUUAGUAAGAGCCACCACCACCAAACAUGAUUUUUUUAUAUUUAUAUUCUUAAAUCAAUAUUUUUUGCAGUUUCUUCGAUUGGGGUGGAUAUAGAAGGAAAACACGGCUUAAUAAUGCAGGGUAAUCUUCUCAUCGCAAUAGUUUGGGAAAAGUUGUUUUACAACCAAUUAUUGUGGUUUUAAUGUCGACUAGAAGACUAACAGAGGGCCUAAUCACAUGUACAAAGAAGGAGGGCAUAACUAAGCUCCAUUGUCAAAAUGUUGAUGCGUAUGUUGUUGGCUACAUGUUGCACAACAUUCAAUUCUUUAUAUCUUGCAUUUGCCAAUGACCACUAGAUAAUUAAAAUAUAUGUUUGAUCACCUUGUUCUCUUUGAUUGAAUGUCAUUGAUGGAUAGCCUCUUGGUUCUUAUCAAAAUGUCCCUAAUUUCUUAGUUGAACCUCCACUUGAAUUUUAUGGAUACAUAAGGUUUUCAGAUUCAUGUUUAGCAAGAGGAAUGAAACGGAUGUUAACUUUUUGCGAUCUGAAGACAUCGUUUCUUUUUCUCGAAUAUUUAUGGGUUGAUAUUGCUCCAACAUUUUCUCUUCCUUUAGGUGUACCUAUUCUGCAAAAUAAUGUUGGCUACCUGAUUAAUGACCUCUUUCAUCGACUAGAAAGAUCACUAUUUACCAAGGGCAUAGGAGUUGCUGAGGUUACUUGAAGAUGGUCAGUCCAUGGAUUUUGGAGUCACUUGGCAAUAUAGUAGGAUUCUUAAUAAGGUUAUGUGGGAGAUCUGAUAACAAGAAACUUCCUAGCAUCAUUGGGGUAUGCUGUUUGCUUCAUAAAAUAAUUAUAAUUAUAGAUUACGGUAGUCCAAAUGUUAAUUAUUUUGUGUAUUUAUGAAACAUUUUUGCAAGUUGAACAUUAUUGUUUAUGGUUUAAUGAUACUAUGCUUUUCCUUUAGUUGUAACCUAAGUUGUUAACAAAUUCAAGUGUUCGGAUUUAUUUA